rnacentral:rRNA from 1 species
GUGCCAGCAGCCGCGGUAAUACGUAAGGUGCAAGCGUUGUCCGGAAUUAUUGGGCGUAAAGAGCUCGUAGGCGGUUUGUCGCGUCUGCUGUGAAAACCCGAGGCUCAACCUCGGGCCUGCAGUGGGUACGGGCAGACUAGAGUGCGGUAGGGGAGAUUGGAAUUCCUGGUGUAGCGGUGGAAUGCGCAGAUAUCAGGAGGAACACCGAUGGCGAAGGCAGAUCUCUGGGCCGUAACUGACGCUGAGGAGCGAAAGCAUGGGGAGCGAACAGGAUUAGAUACCCCGGUAGUCC